rnacentral:rRNA from 1 species
CAGAGUUUAUCUUGGCUCAGGAUAAACGCUGGCGGCGUGCAUAACACAUUCAAGUCGAACGGUGCGAGGUGAAGCUUGCUUCACCGAAGCAUAGUGGCGGACGGGUGAGUAACGCGUGAGCAACCUGCCUGUGUGAGGGGAAUAACGUCCGGAAACAGACGCUAAUACCGCAUGAAGCACGGACACCGCAUGGUGACCGUGCCAAAGAUUUAUCGCACACAGAUGGGCUCGCGUCCGA